UACCCGAGAUCAUGUCCCAUCAUGUCUUCAUCUCGGUCAUAUCGCGCGUACACACAACCAGUCAAAUAUAGAUAUACAUCAUCUGGCUGUAUGGUUUGCGCCAUGAUGUACGAAAUUAAAGUUUGAAAAAAAAAAAGACAAAGUUUUCUAUGAAACCUAAGUGUUAUAAGCUGCUAACAGCGAAACAAAUUCGGAGACUGAAAAUCUGUUUGAAUGUAAAAACAAAAUAUUGUAAAAGACUUACCUGACGGUUUGCUCAUGAUUAGCUUUGAAUACACGCAGAAUAAUAUCAGUUGUACGAUCGCAGGAGUGUUUACGUCUGACGGCCGAGGAUUCCAGGAAUACGCGCAUGCGCAAAGGAGGCAACCGUGGGCUGAACUUUCUUGUUGUGUCCUAGGCCACCGAGGCAAGACCGGUUAGACAGCUUUUUGAGAGCGAUCGAGGUCAGAUGUGGCGUAGAGUUCGCGACCACACAUACAAUCAAAAUAGUAUGUAGCAAGCUCCAUCGACGUUCAUGACAACUGCAAGAACUCUUCUUGGAUCACUGGGACCUGGUAUACAGAUGCUACAUAUUAUCUCCAACUUUCGUCGGUGGGAAUUUUGCAUGUGAAUUUUUAUACAUCUUCGCACCUUGAGCUUGCAAACUAACUUGAGCUGCUGACCUGCAAAUUGAAGAUUGAAGGACAGAAUGCUUGUGGCUUUAAGAGGAAAGAGCAAUGAGAAAAAUGAUGACGCCAACUGGCACGGUUCGAACCCCGAGCUACCUUUAUCAAUCGAGGACAAGUAGUUGCCCUGGGGAUAUAGGACUUCACCUGAUGAAACAGAAACGAAAUAAUGAAGUGUGGAGGCCAAACGAUCUACGAAGUCUGAAUUCCCUCAAACACCACUCGUUAGAUUCGUCUCAAAAUAUGGUGAGAUAGAAAACAAACAAUAUAAUAACGAUCACUCUUUAUGUGGUAUAGAAACAGCUGAUACUGAGUUUGUUUAUCUAGUGGAUAUGUCGAGUGUUUUGUUUUUUUUCCACAGAUCCGCCUGACUAGACACACUUUACACAAAACACUGAUAUUGAGUGUGCAAGCUUCUGAGCUCAGGUUGUAGGGUUAGACUUGUAGGGUUAGAGGUCAUCCCUAUAACUCAUAAAUAUGUCGCCUGUAUCUUUUGAAAGUGUCUGAGGUAGUGGUGUUCACAUUCUGUGUUCUUAUUAUGAGACGAGUUCAAAAUAACAAUAUAGAUGAUGUAAAAAAAGUGUCCAUUCUCCUCUGUGGCCGAAAGGUCUGGAUGGUCCUGCUGUUAGAAACAGUUGCAGACCUCGGAGAUUCGAUACCUAGAGGUUCCAGUCGUGUGUAUGGUCCACAGUUGUGGCUACAGUGGGGUUGUUAGUAUAGAAGGUUUGUAAGGGCUGUAGUCCAGGGUACUGAUGUGCCUUUGCUUCAUGGAUAAGGCCCCAUGUUUUAUAAAACGUACCCCAAAUAACAAGUUUACAAACACUCGGCCUGAAUAAACAAGUUUACAAACACGUGACCAGACCAGUGAUCGCGGUGUACGUGUGAUGAUAGCCAAAGGUCUUUAGCUCCAGGGAUGUACUUAGU